rnacentral:rRNA from 1 species
AAGCGAAAARGCCUUCGGGUCGUAAAGCUCUGUCAAGUGGGAAAAAAGUCUUCCGGUUAAUACCCGGAAGGUCUGAUGGUACCAUUGGAGGAAGCACCGGCUAACUCCGUGCCAGCAGCCGCGGUAAUACGGAGGGUGCAAGCGUUGUUCGGAUUUACUGGGCGUAAAGGGCGUGCAGGCGGUUUGGUAAGUCAGAUGUGAAAGCCCUGGGCUUAACCCGGGAAGUGCAUUUGAAACUGCCUUUCUUGAGUAUGGGAGAGGAGAGUGGAAUUCCCAGUGUAGAGGUGAAAUUCGUAGAUAUUGGGAGGAACACCGGUGGCGAAGGCGACUCUCUGGACCAAUACUGACGCUGAGACGCGAAAGCGUGGGGAGCAAACAGGAUUAGAUACCCUGGUAGUCCACGCUGUAAACGAUGAGAWCUKGGUGUACMGGUAYYGACKCSUGCMGYGCCMKAGYUAACGCAUUAAGUKUCCCRCCUGGGRAGUACGRYCGCAAGGUUGAAACUCAAAGGAAUUGACGGGGGCCCGCACAAGCAGUGGAGCAUGUGGUUUAAUUCGAUGCAACGCGAAGAACCUUACCUGGGCUCGAAAUACUANAUUAUCCUUCGGUGAAAGUCGGAGGCMCUUCGGCGGAUSUAGACAGGUGCUGCAUGGCUGUCGUCAGCUCGUGYCGUGAGRUGUUGGGUUAAGUCCCGCAACGAGCGCAACCCYUGUCYUUAGUUGCCAUUAWUAAGUUAGGCACUCUAAAGAGACUGCCUCGGUUAACGGGGAGGAAGGUGGGGAUGACGUCAAGUCCUCAUGGCCUUUAUACCCAGGGCUACACACGUGCUACAAUGGGCUGUACAAAGGGUCGCCACUCCGCGAGGAGGCGCUAAUCCCAAAAAGCAGUCCUCAGUUCGGAUUGGAGUCUGCAACUCGACUCCAUGAAGGUGGAAUCGCUAGUAAUCGUGGAUCAGCACGCCACGGUGAAUACGUUCCCGGGCCUUGUACACACCGCCCGCCACACCACGAAAGUCGACUGUACCAGAAGUUGCUGGGCCAACCCCUUUUGGGGGGGCAGGUACCUAAGMACGGCMMAAUGGGMG